GAUGCCUGCCCGGUGACCUGACGUUUAACGGCCGCGGUAUCCUAACCGUGCAAAGGUAGCGCAAUCAAUUGUCCCAUAAAUCGAGACUAGUAUGAAUGGCUAAACGAGGUCUUAACUGUCUCUUGCAGGCAAUCGGUGAAAUUGAUCUUCCUGUGCAAAAGCAGGAAUAAACCCAUAAGACGAGAAGACCCUGUGGAACUUUAAAAACAGCAGCCACCCCAAAUUACAUAACCCCCCACCGGGCUCACUUACACAUAAGCCACUGGCCUGCAUUUUUUCGGUUGGGGCGACCUUGGAGAAAAACAAAUCCUCCAAAAAUUAGACCUUACCUCUAGACCAAGAGCAACAUCUCAACGUGCUAAUAGCACCCAGACCCAAUAUAAUUGAUCAAUGGACCAAGCUACCCCAGGGAUAACAGCGCAAUCUCCUUUAAGAGUCCAUAUCGACAAGGAGGUUUACGACCUCGAUGUUGGAUCAGGACAUCCUAGUGGUGCAGAAGCUACUAAG
rnacentral:rRNA from 1 species